UGAGGAUUAUUUUAAUUUAGAAUAUUUAGCUGUUAACUAAAAGGUUAUCUUCAU
rnacentral:tRNA from 1 species